GCGGGAGGUAAACGAGGGCGAGAAACUUCCAGGCGAAAAGUGAGAGAAGAUGUGGAGAAAAGAAUCGUCUCCGGUCAUCAACCGGAAACGCUGUUAAUCUCUCCAAAGAUACUGCAGGCUUGGCCUCAAGGAUUUAAUGUUGAAUUCAACAAUUUAACAACAAUUCUGCAGAUUAUCAGCUGAAUUCAAAUUCCACAGCUACCCUGGUAUGAUUUGAACUGAGGUUUCUGGAUGUCAGUUUAGGCUUCUGUAUUUCUAAUCUGAUGCUGCCUGACCUGCCAAGUAUUUCCAGCAUUUUUCUGUUUUCAUUUCUCAUCCAAUUAGUCUGAGGCCACCUUCCAUUAAUGGACUGAGUCAUUUACAAUCUGAAGCUUGCAUGUAUCUUCAUCAUAAGCUAGUGUAAACAAGAUCUGAUAAUUAUUCCCAAACACAAUAAACCACAUGUAGAAAACUUUACAAGAUGUUCACUACCUGUCUAUUGCUGGGAAUCUAAUGGCAUGGAAAUUGUUUGCUAAUGCAAGAAAUUUCACAACAGUAAUAUUUGUAUGCUAUUCUCACUUUUGCACUUGUAUCA